CCUACGGGAGGCAGCAGUGAGGAAUAUUGGUCAAUGGGCGCGAGCCUGAACCAGCCAAGUCGCGUGAAGGAUGAAUGCCCUACGGGUUGUAAACUUCUUUUAUCAAGGAAUAAAGUGAGGCACGUGUGCCUUUUUGUAUGUACUUUAUGAAUAAGGAUCGGCUAACUCCGUGCCAGCAGCCGCGGUAAUACGGAGGAUCCGAGCGUUAUCCGGAUUUAUUGGGUUUAAAGGGAGCGUAGAUGGGUUGUUAAGUCAGUUGUGAAAGUUUGCGGCUCAACCGUAAAAUUGCAAUUGAUACUGGCAGCCUUGAGUACAGUAGAGGUAGGCGGAAUUCGUGGUGUAGCGGUGAAAUGCUUAGAUAUCACGAAGAACUCCGAUUGCGAAGGCAGCCUACUAAACGGCCACUGACAUUGAUGCUCGAAAGUGUGGGUAGCAAACAGGAUUAGAUACCCUGGUAGUC
rnacentral:rRNA from 1 species